CAAAGGAACUAGACAGUAUAACAGAUUUAAUUUACAAAGGAACUAGACAGUAUAACAGAUUUAAUUUACAAAGGAACUAGACAGUAUAACAGAUGUAAUUUACACAGUGGAGCGCAGCUGCUUGUCAAGAAGCCACACUCAUGUUAGAAGUUCAGCUCCCUGAAACAAUUAUUUUCAAAUAAAAAACUAAUUUAAUCAAAAAAAGGGGAAUUUCUAUCAUCCUAAUGAAGGUGUAGAUUACAUCUCACAUUCCAGUGUUUCUAAUGGAGGUGUAGAUUACAUCUCACAUUCCAGUGUUUCUAAUGAAGGUGUAGAUUACAUCACACAUUCCAGUGUUUCUAAUGGAGGUCUAGAUUACAUCUCACAUUCCAGUGUUUCUAAUGAAGGUGUAGAUUACAUCUCACAUUCCAGUGUUUCUAAUGAAGGUCUAGAUUACAUCUCACAUUCCAGUGUUUCUAAUGGAGGUGUAGAUUACAUCUCACAUUCCAGUGUUCCUAAUGGAGGUGUAGAUUACAUCUCACAUUCCAGUGUUUCUAAUGAAGGUGUAGAUUACAUCUCACAUUCCAGUGUUCCUAAUGAAGGUGUAGAUUACAUCUCACAUUCCAGUGUUUCUAAUGAAGGUGUAGAUUACAUCUCACAUUCCAGUGUUCCUAAUGGAGGUGUAGAUUACAUCUCACAUUCCAGUGUUUCUAAUGGAGGUCUAGAUUACAUCUCACAUUCCAGUGUUUCUAAUGGAGGUCUAGAUUACAUCUCACAUUCCAGUGUUUCUAAUGGAGGUGUAGAUUACAUCUCACAUUCCAGUGUUUCUAAUGGAGGUGUAGAUUACAUCUCACAUUCCAG
ensembl:lncRNA